UACAGAGACUGCAAGCGUUAUUCGGAAUCACUGGGCGUAAAGGGCGCGUAGGCGGCUUGAUAAGUCGGGGGUGAAAGCCUGUGGCUCAACCACAGAAUUGCCUUCGAUACUGUCGAGCUUGAGACCGGAAGAGGUAAGUGGAACUGCGAGUGUAGAGGUGAAAUUCGUAGAUAUUCGCAAGAACACCAGUGGCGAAGGCGGCUUACUGGUCCGGUUCUGACGCUGAGGCGCGAAAGCGUGGGGAGCAAACAGG
rnacentral:rRNA from 1 species